AACGAACGCUGGCGGCAUGCCUAACACAUGCAAGUCGAACGAGACCUUCGGGUCUAGUGGCGCACGGGUGCGUAACGCGUGGGAACCUGCCCUUAGGUUCGGAAUAACUCCCCGAAAGGGGUGCUAAUACCGGAUAAUGUCUUCGGACCAAAGAUUUAUCGCCUUUGGAUGGGCCCGCGUUGGAUUAGCUAGUUGGUAGGGUAAAAGCCUACCAAGGCGACGAUCCAUAGCUGGUCUGAGAGGAUGAUCAGCCACACUGGGACUGAGACACGGCCCACUCCUACGGGAGGCAGCAGUGGGGAAUAUUGGACAAUGGGCGAAAGCCUGAUCCAGCAAUGCCGCGUGAGUGAUGAAGGCCUUAGGGUUGUAAAGCUCUUUUACCCGGGAUGAUAAUGACAGUACCGGGAGAAUAAGCUCCGGCUAACUCCGUG
rnacentral:rRNA from 1 species